AGCGAUACCGAAGCGCAGUGUGAAGCCAUGCAGGAAAUUGUGGAUCAAGUCUUGGAGGAGGAUUUUGAUCAGGAGCAGCUCUCAGUCCUGGCGUCCUGCUUACAGGAGCUGUUCAAAGCUCAUUUCCGCGGGGAGGUUUUGCCCGAAGAAAUCACGGAAGAGUCUCUGGAAGAAUCUGUAGGAAAGCCGCUUUACUUAAUAUUUAGGAACCUCUGCCAGAUGCAGGAAGACAACAGCAG